rnacentral:rRNA from 1 species
AGUCGAACGGUAACGUGGGGAGGAGCUUGCUCCGCCCCGACGACGAGUGGCGAACGGGUGAGUAAUACAUCGGAACGUGUCCGCUCGUGGGGGACAACCAGCCGAAAGGUUGGCUAAUACCGCAUGAGUUCUACGGAAGAAAGAGGGGGACCCGCAAGGGCCUCUCGCGAGCGGAGCGGCCGAUGACUGAUUAGCCAGUUGGUGAGGUAACGGCUCACCAAAGCAACGAUCAGUAGCUGGUCUGAGAGGACGACCAGCCACACUGGGACUGAGACACGGCCCAGACUCCUACGGGAGGCAGCAGUGGGGAAUUUUGGACAAUGGGCGCAAGCCUGAUCCAGCUAUUCCGCGUGUGGGAUGAAGGCCCUCGGGUUGUAAACCACUUUUGUAGAGAACGAAAAGACACCAUCGAAUAAAUGGUGUUGCUGACGGUACUCUAAGAAUAAGCACCGGCUAACUACGUGCCAGCAGCCGCGGUAAUACGUAGGGUGCGAGCGUUAAUCGGAAUUACUGGGCGUAAAGGGUGCGCAGGCGGUUGAGUAAGACAGAUGUGAAAUCCCCGAGCUUAACUCGGGAAUGGCAUAUGUGACUGCUCGACUAGAGUGUGUCAGAGGGAGGUGGAAUUCCACGUGUAGCAGUGAAAUGCGUAGAUAUGUGGAAGAACACCGAUGGCGAAGGCAGCCUCCUGGGACAUAACUGACGCUCAGGCACGAAAGCGUGGGGAGCAAACAGG